AUUGAACGCUGGCGGCAUGCCUUACACAUGCAAGUCGAACGGCAGCACGGGGGCAACCCUGGUGGCGAGUGGCGAACGGGUGAGUAACACAUCGGAACGUGUCCUGUUGUGGGGGAUAACCCACCGAAAGGUGAGCUAAUACCGCAUAACCUCGGAAGAGAAAAGCAGGGGAUCGCAAGACCUUGCGCGAUUGGAGCGGCCGAUGUCCGAUUAGCUAGUUGGUGGGGUAAAGGCCUACCAAGGCGACGAUCGGUAGCUGGUCUGAGAGGAUGAUCAG
rnacentral:rRNA from 1 species